AGAAACAAAUUUACCAAGUGCGGCAUAUGCACUCUUGUCAAAGAACUGGCGAAGGAAUGUCAAACAGACGCUAUAAAAAAUGAGGUGAAGAUGCUGAAGAUAUCACACAAAUUUCUUGCAAAGGGCGGAGAGACGAGUCUAGUAUCGUCACAGAGACAAGGCAAGAUGUCAGCCCGAUAAAUAUGUAAGCAUAAUAAUUGAUGGCAUGGACCAGUCAAAAAAAAAUAUUCCCCAUUACAUAACUGAUACAAAGGUUUGUAGCCUUGAUUCAUGUUUCUAGAUCCUUUUUACGGAUCGCUAUGUUAGUUAGGGCAAAUGGCCAUUUCAUUUUUUCAAGAAUAAUUAAUUGAUCACUUCCUCUUUCCCCAUUUUUUGAGGAUGUUAUUAUUGUUUAUCUAAAUUUAAAAGUGAAAUAUUUUCAUAACACUAGCGAAAAAAUUAUUUUUGCUCAUUUUGAAUAACUAUGCAUUUUUCAUAAUGAAAAAUAACUUUUUGCCCCACAGGAACACAAGAGCCACUUUUACAAGACACAUAUAACUGGUGUUUAUUCCCACGGCCACAAGAAGUCUUAUCAAUAUAUACAUUGCCAAGAAUGGCCACACGACUGAGAUGUUACGCUGAACGUCUUGCUAAGGUCACUUGUAUCAUUGUCAAAGGAUGGACAUUUGCCUGGCAUCUUAUACCUCCAUAUGGAUAACUGCUGGCGGGAAUAAAAACAUAUGCGUCAUGGCCAUGUUUGCAUUGCUUGUGCAAAUGAAAAUAUUUUGAAAGGUUAGUGCUUAAGAAACAAGGCAUUAAUAUGUUGUUUUGAUAUAAAGACAAAUAAUAAGCUCUUUAAUACAAUUCUAUUAGGACCUUAACUAAUGAUACACAAUCAUUAUUGAGAAUCUACUUGUCUAGUGCAUUAAAGCUAUGUAGUCCAGGGAGUCGCUAAAGGUGGGAAUGGGGGCGCAGUAAUCCGAAUCACUUUUUCCAAAUCACAUAAAGGAUUUUGCCGGGCAAAAGAAGUAACGUUUUUCUCACCCUGUUACCUUUUUGCAAUAAUUGUAACGUAUUAACAUUUCAGCGUUAACACUUCCUUGUUGUUGCAAAAAUUAUUUCUGUACUCUCCGGAAUUUUUUUUUGACCUCCUCCCUGUAUGUAGUGAGAACUAAUGAUAAGAUUGAUAGUUCCUUGAAGUUUUUUCAGUUUUCUGUAUCAAUUGAAUGUAUUCCUGAUAAUUUUUUUAACCCAAUUUUUCUUCAUGUAGGUUCGCUUGUCUUUUCUGAUGGUUGGUCAUACUCACGAAGACAUUGAUCAGGUGACCAGUUUUUAGAAUUUAGGUCAUUAGUUGUAAGUAAAUGAGCCUGGUAUACCAUAUAAAUUUUCCCCAUUCUUUUCAACGAUUCCUCGAAAAAACCCCUCUAAUUAGAAAAAUUGAAGGAAUUUUAGCAUUUCUAUGAUGCUGUUUGCCGUUUUCUCCUACUUUGUUGAGGAAAUACACAAAUGACUUUUUGGUUGAAACAUGAAGCUCCUUUUCAAGGCUUGUAUUAGGAUUAAUACUUUGCUGAUUACACUUUCGUUGUACUUGCACAUGCACAUUGUAAAAAGUAUAAAAAUUUGUUAUUGUAAUUAAAGGGAGUUGUUUGAUUAUUAUCUUAUUAACGGUGUUUGUUAUAAAAUGAUGAUAAUGACAAAAACGAGCUUCCCUUAGUGUGAAACUGAAUCAAACUUAAAAAACCCAAGCUGUUGAUGCAAAAAAUGGCUUAACUUUUCAAUCUUUUAUAGCUCUUCAGUCACAUUGCGUCAAAGCUGAGAAGGAGCAAUGCCGUGACUUUGCCUGACCUUAUGGCACUGAUCAAGCACGCCUACGCACUGCUGCACGAAGUGGAAGUGCUCCAGUACGUUUUUGCAAUUAAGAGUUGGCUUACGCCACAUAUCUCCAAAAUCCAGCAGCACAGUAGACCUCAUGCCUUUAAAUUUGAAGCCUGUGACAAUGGGAAAGCUGGCAUGUUUUAUAAGAAUUGGUCAUCUGAAGGAGAAUGGAAGGGUGAUGAGAAUGGCAACUAUUUUUUCAUGCCUGCAGGAUCUCUGUCAUUGUCAAGAGGCAUUUGUCAUUACUACAUUACAAUGCGAGAACAGUAUGGAAGUCAUUACAACCUCGAAGUUGUAAUGAACGAUUUGCACUGAAGGAAAAAGAAUGGUGGGAGAAAUUCGAGAAGGAAGAGCGGACGAAACGUUUCAUGUGGGAAUCGUUAACCGCCAAGGAGCUCUCGCGGGCCGGUAAUUUUAACUGGUAUCUGAACAAAUCAAAAAAAUUUUCAGAUAAGAUAACUCGGUCGAGUGUGAAGCAUGACAUGACAAACUCACAUAUAUAAGUACCUUCUGUAUAAUCACUGUCAUAAAAAUCACAAACACGAAAUAUGCAUUCGAUUUGGUCUGUGUCGCAGGCUGCACCAUGCGAUCGAUGGUAACAGCAAUGGCAUAGCGUUGAUCACAUCGCAUCAUGUUAAUUCUCACAAAACACCAAGGAAAACAUGAGUAACUUACAGGAAGGACCAUACCAACCAUAGGAUUAUUUGUUAAAUAAUAUUUACAAGAUUUUCAUUGCCAAAUAGCGAAAAUUGUUGCGGGAAGACUGCAAAGACAUGCAUGGGAUUCGGCGUGAAAACGGUUUGGUUAAUGUGGUGAAAAGCCUAAAGCUCAUAAAAAGGAGAUUGCUGCUAACCUUAUAGUAACCAGGUAAUGCCUCAUUUCGUUUUAUAAUUGAAAUUUCCAAUAAAAGUUUUUUAAUAAUUUCAUGGAAUUAACAUAAAGCGUUUACUAACAUAGGAUUUGUUUCACCGAAACAUUCAGAUUUUUCAUGAAAGUGGGGCGACUACCACCCACAAACCCUCCCCUCUGCAUAGAAAGUGUCGCGAGAGCACGCCCGAAGUCCUGUAGAAAAAGUCAAAAAUGCUUUUUGUGUUGCAUGCAGUGUUUUGCCACGAAGGCGGAAUAUCAAAGGCAUCAAGCAGGAUUAUCGCCCGUCCAUGCGCUAUCAUCAGGAUUAGCACCAAUAUCACUGUCAUGCAAUUUUUUGGGAAAAUGCAGACUUCUGAUUGGCUUAGGCGGUAGAAGCUGCUUUUUUCUACCGAUUGCGAUUAAUCAUGUUUGAUUUUGAUUGGUCUGUAUUUUCUUUCUCCUUAUGGCAUGGAUUUUCUCCUUAUGUCGUGGAUCGCGUUCCUGGUUAAAUGGAGUGUGGCUAGAAAUGUUAAGUUAAACGUACAUUUAAUGUUUUCCUCACUUUUAUUACAUAGCCUUUGACUAUAACGGGCUCUUGUAAUAGAAAUUAUAACUCAUGCUUCCAUUACGUCUUGGUGUACACUCAACUUUUAAAAUUAUUUUUAAACAUGCUUCAAGAAGCUAGAACUGAACUUUGGUAUAGUAAGAAACUUGGUAUACGUAGCCAAAAAUGGAGAAACAAUAGAACUUUGAAAAGGAUAAUGGUUGGCAUAUACUACACAAACGAAAUUUUUUCACCAAGAUUACACAAAUUACACAAAGAAUCAAAGUCUUAGAGCCAAUGACAUGAGAAUUAAGAAACGCGUGCUGAAUAUUGCAGCAUCGUUAAGAAACUGGAUCGACCUUUGUUUGUUAUAAAAAAAUGAGUUUAUGUAUUAUGAUUGUAUUCUCAUGUAUUAUUGAAAUAAAAAAUGAAUUAUUAUAUUCUCAUGGUAAAACAAUGCUUUAAUCCUUUUGUUAAACAAAAAUUUAUCACAGUAAUUCCAAGGAAGAAUAACUUUCUUCACCAUUUUUUUGUUUUUAUUUUCACCUUUUAUUGUUUGGUGUAAGAGAGGGUUAUAUCUAUUUCUACUGCAGGAUGAGUUGAACUACUUGUAUGCCAAAGUGAAGCCUAAAGAUCGGUUUUAUGUAAAAGAAAAUAAAACAUUCUACAAAGGAUUGAAUGCCAAGGGUGAUGAAGAUGAGCUAGACCCACUUUUUGCAGAAUGCGUUAUUGGGUCUGCUCUUGCAAAGCACUCUCAGCCCAUCUCACUGUAGUCAGAAGGUUGGUUUCAGAAGAUGGGUUUUUAAAACAAAGAUAUAUUGAAUUUAUAAAGUCAGGGGCAGACCUAAUAAAAGUUCGAGUCUCUUAUAUGAAAACGCUCCACCGUUUUUUCUUUGUUACUUGUAUAGAAAACUUUCGUAAAAGUCUUUAGGAUAAUCCUUUCAUUUCUCUUUCGUAUAUCUCUGUGGUUUUCACCAAAAACUUUGUUAUUUGCAUGUCAUUAUUCAAGAAAUCAUGUAAUAGCGUAUGUUGUUGAAUAAGUCUCCACAUUCGAAAAAGCCUUCUCCUUGAAUAAAGCACCCACCCAAAAGUUAAUUGAUCGCCGUGAAAUUUAAAUACAAGGUAUCAGGGUAUUUUCUUGUUCAACUCUUUUACUUUUUCGCAACAUAGCCUGUCCUAACCUUAAAAUUAAUUUUCAUGACAUUAGAAAUAAUUAAAUUGCAGGACUAUUCUUCUCAGUCACAAGGCCUUCCUAAAUCAGGCAAAAUUUGCGGCAGCUUUGGAGAGAAGUUUUGGGGCUGGCUUGAUUGUCAAUGGGUCUCUGACAGAAGGGGACCUUUCCGAUUAUAUUAUGUUUCUGAAAACAGAUUACGUAAGCGAAAAUUCUGCCAGAAAUUACAAUGUGGCAAAACACAUAGGAUACAUCGAAAACAACUAUUGGUUUCUUUCACCAGAGGUUUGUACAUUCUUACAACACAUACCUUACAACGUAAUCUGGGACGGAUUUACUGGGAAUGUUUUUGUGCUAUCGGCAAAAUUUUGUUUUGAUUCGGUAAAAAGUUUUUUUGGUAGUCAAUAGCAACAAAAUGACGCCAUUUUUGUUUAACUAGUAACCCUUUCGCCGCCUUCUCCAAACUUUUUCGAAAUAGCAACAGAAUAGAUCCCUCAUACAUUUAAACAAUUAUACACACUAAAAAACCUUAAUACAUUAUUAAAAAUAUUUUAAUUCAGUCUGAAUUCUAUGUGUGGUAUGGAAGAAAACAGUCAAUGCACAGAAAAAUGUCGCAUUUUGUACCUUUGUACAUAACUUUGCUGCCGCAUUCAUUCUUGCAAUAACCUUUCUUAUCAGUUUUCACUACAAAGUGUUGUAUACCAUCAUAUCUUUUUGUUGCAUUUGGCUGUUGCCCAACAGAUCUUUUUCUUUAUGAAAAUUUACCAAUUAAAUUUUUUGACAAUUCAAUUCGAAAAUCCUUUUGGCCACGUUUUUUGCAUUUGGUUGGAAUUGUUGCAAUAUCCAAGCAUUUACAAUGGCUUGCUUCAGCAAAUCAAAAAAGAUAGGCAUCCACCAUCUGUAAGACUUCCUUGAAAAAUUUUGAUAUGACAUCAUCUGAUCAUUGGUGUCUACACCUCCCAUAUUUUGACGAUAUGGUUUUAUACAAGGUGGGCACUGUCUUAUGAUCUUCUAAGCUGUCCCUUUUCGAGACUUUUUCACCAAGUCUGUUUCCUUGGGUAUUGGCCUGCUCAUUGAACUAAUGAGUAUAACAUCCUUUGUGUCCUUCCACUUUGUCACCACAAUUUGAGGAUCUUUCAUAUGCCAGAUCAUUUCCCCUGGCUGGAGCUUAGCCUCCUUUAUUUCUUUUGGCAAACCAGCCUGGUUUGGACGAAUGGUUGCAGUUGCAAACAUUCCUUCUUUAUAUAGCCCAUCAAUUAGAUCCACAGAAGAAAAAAAAAUUGUCAAAGUAUAACAUUCAUGGCUGGCCUGGUUGCAGUUCUUUAGCCAACUGUUGUUGUUCGAAAUGUUUAGAGCAAUUCGAAAAAGUUUGAUACGACUGCAUCUUCACUCAAUGUGACAACAGGCCCUGACUUUUUUCUGAAUGUUGAAAGGCCCUGACAUAUUGGUCAAGUCUCAUCAUACUCUUGUAAGUGAUCAAUUAGUUCUUGCUUUCUGCCAGUCGCAGCAAUUACUCGAUUUUUGCAGAGCUCUUUCAGCUCCCCAAGAUUCUUUUUCGCAUUCUCUUCAAAAUUCUCCUCAAAAUCGUCAUCAUUCACAACAAAGUCAACCUCUCAACCUUCGCUGUCGGACGCCAUUUUGAAUUGAAACUUGGCAUAAAAGUUCCCGGAUAAUUGGACUUCAGAUCGAGGCUGUUAGGCUGGGUACCUCACUUCUCAAAUUUUUUUAUUGCUAUAAAAACAUCCAAUUUUUCAAAAUUUUGCCUUGAAGUUUUCGAAAAAUACUUGUAUCAAAAAAAUUAACUGUUCUACUGUGGAAAAUUUGCACAUAUAUUAUAAAUUGAAUUAUCAGCUUUGUUUUCAUACUAAAUAUGACUUGACUGAGCUUUGCAGAGCGAAGAAAAAUAUUUUAUUGCGAAGCGCGUUUUUUUCGUUAAAACCCCUAUGUUCGAAAUUUAUAUUUGAAAAGCGAAGAUGUAAGACAAUUUAGUUUAAAAGUGAAAUUUAGAAUGGGCGUUUUUAUCAUUAUUGAGGCACCUAAAGGGCAAGGCACCAAAAGCCGAUCAUUAUACAACACCCCCCCCCCAAUCCUUGCAUCUAAAAUCUACCCAUGGAUGUUAUAGAAAAUUAAAUGUUUUCAAAGCAAUGUGUUACUUACAUAAAGCAUACAAAAACUGCAUAGUAUCGAAAGCAUGCAAUAUAGCAGUUUCAUCAUUGAUUUCUCAGGUGCAAAUCUCAAAUGGAAAGCUUUUGGAUGAAAACGAAAUGCAGUAUAUGGUCAUGUCCGAAGACCAACUUGGUAGCAUGUACCUAAAUCCUAACUAGGGCUGCUGCGUCAACAAAGGAAAUGCAUUAAAGUUUAUAAAAAAUUAGGCUAUAUUUCUCAAUUUUUCAGAAUUUUUAUCCCGAUAAAGAUAGCUUUCUUAUAUCCAUUUAACAAAUAUAUUUUAAAAAACAAACACGUUUAGAACAUAUUGAAGCUUUUCAUCUUGCAGUAUGCAGAUCACUUCUCCAAGAAAUACGACUGUGAAGUAUAUCCCCAUUUGCAAAGCAAAAAGCGAGCACAUGACUGAAACUAUUAAUUAUUCAUUCUUCCACUUCUUGUCUUUUCCAAGGCUAAUCUGCAUACUCUACUGUAAGGCCACUGGCAAGCCCGCUUAGCGGGCUUCGUGGGGGAGCUAGUCAGCAACUAUUCUUUCAAAAUUUUCGUUCAGUUGUAACUCAGUUUUAGCUUUUUGAAGCUUUUUAUAUUAUCUAAAGACAUGUUUCCUCUUUCAUUGUUAAGAAAAUUAGCAUCCUUUGAAAAGUUCCCUUCUUGAUCGGCAAACAUCUUUUGAAGUCAAAAUUCAUUAAAAACAACCUCCCUAAAUUAUAAUUACAGACUUCUAAUCUAGAAUGUCUUUUUUCAUUUCAGGGCUACCUUAAAAAUUAUAUAGUAUCACCAGGUCUAAAAAACUGGAUAUCAGGAGAGAGAUGUCCUGCCUAAUAUAAUGAUAUCUCGCAUACAUACAAUCCAUGUCUAACAAAUUGUCUCUAGCCACCGAAAAAAAUUAUAGUCUUAAAAUUCACAAUUGCACAGCUAAAAUUCACAGUUUCACAAUUUAUCUGAAAUUUAUAAGGAAGCCUAUGAGAAUGGGUUUCGGUACCACCGGUACCUUUGGUACCACAUUUUAUGAACAGUGAUGUUCAAACCAUAUUGAUUUGGGAAAAUUAUUUUCUAGAAACCCAGAAGUUUACAUAAAAGGUCAAGUUAUACUUUUCUGAAUAGACUUUGGAUCCUUUUCAUUAGAGCAUUUGCCUUUCUAAUAAUCCUUUUCAAAAACGUAUCAAAAGACCCUUUGCAUGUAAUAUACCAAGAAGUUAACUUGUACAGAGGGGCAGAGGGGAAUACCUUAUCUCGGGGGGAUGUCAAAGUUUUGAUUCCGUCAGCUGAUCUAACUGUCGUCAGAUGACUAUGAUGUAAUAUUUAAAUUUUACCUUGCUGAAAGAGCAAUAAGUGAAUUACAAUAGAUGCUAUUUAUGGGCCAUUUCAUAUGUUGCGUGUCUCUUGAUGGCUAUAAAAGCUUUUCCACUGAAGACAAAAUCAGUAUAUUUUAGAAGACUACAAAUUAAGUCGCAUUGCAUAGGUUGAAAGCGAAAUGCCAAGGACGUAUGUAAACGAAGCAAAAUCUUAGCAAGAAAGGGAUAUGGAGAGCGCUUUGCUAGAAGUUCCUAUCGCCCCUUGAAACAGAACUUUGCGCAUUAGGAAAGCUGCAAAGACAUAUGGUUUAUCAGGAUCGGUAAGUCACUUAUUCAACUGAUUGAACAGGCAGAUAUUUUGUGAACAAUUUAUUUUUGAAAGUUUAUCAAUCUUCAAAACCAGAGUAAUUUUUACAUGGCCGAAUUAAUUUCGAUAAGAUCGUAGUAGCUAAAUCAAAUUGAACAAAAUGGAAUAAAUCUUUGAUUGAGAAUUAUUUUUGAAAGAAAUUAACACCUGAUAUUUCAUCUCAUAAAACAUCCGCCAUCGAAUUGGCAACAAGAAGAUUGGAGGCUCGAAACACUCCAAGGGCGAAAUCCGAUGCUGGACAAAGAGACAGAAAAAAAUUGGCUGAGUGCAUCAAUGUUAUGUGUAACCUUGGUUUUAGCCCCAGCACAAGCGAAAUAUUGGAGCUGGCCACUGAACAUGUAGCCAAUAAUAACAUUGUGGUACCUCUGUUUAAAGAUGGCAAACCAGAAGAUUUUGGCUGGCUGCUUUUAUGAAAAGGAACAACCUUUCUCUGAAGAAGGCAGAAAUGAUCAGUGUGGCCAGAAAAUCAGCGACAGGGAACCUUUUGUAAUAUAUGACUUUUAUGAAAAAAUUCAUGAACUGGUCAAGGAAAAAGGAUUUAAGCCUCAUCAGAUAUUGAAUUGCCACCAAUCUGGUUUCCAGAAUGACCUCUAGCGAUGCAGAGUGAUUGGGAAAAAAGGCCAACGCACAUUCAGAAUUAUAUGUGGUCCGGAAAGGAAAACACAACAACACUUGCAGUUUGCAAUGCUGCUGGCCGUGCUCUCGACCCACUGGUGGUUUUUUCCGGGAAAAAUCUACAGUCAACAUGGCGAGGAGAACGAGCACUGAAGGACACCUGGUAUGGAGUUUCAGAGAACGGAUGGAUGACAAGUGAGCUCUUUGCAUCUUGGUUUGACUGGUUUGCCAUAAAGGUCACAGAGCGUCCACUGCUGCUUGUUUAUGAUGGUCAUCUCACUCAUGUGACUCUGCCAGUUAUAGAGAGGGCAAGAUCCGAAGAAACUUCUAUUGUCAAAUUGCCUCCCCAUACUACAGAUCUCCUUCAACCACUAGAUGUUGCCUGUUUCGGACCACUAAAAAGGCUUUGUUGACAGAAACUGAAUGAUUGGGUCAGCCAAUGGGGUGCACAAGAACCAGUAAGAAAAGCGCAUUUUGUCAACCUGUUGUCGGAAAUUUGGCAUCUUGGUUAUCUUCUCAAAAUAUAAAAGCAGGGUUUGAAGCCACUGGGAUUUUUCCUGUUGAUAGCUCCAAAUAUCCAAUUUCAAGGCUUGAUGCCAACAUGCUUAAAAAGUACAAGGCCUGGGUUGAAUCUGGUAAAUGCUUUUGACAACCUGUUGCACGAAGCAAGGACCAGUCCAAAAAAGCAGCAUCACCAAAGAAAAUGUCAACCCCCUAGAAGACAUCAACGCCAAAGAAGUUUUCUCCAAAAAAACAGCAUCCUUUAAAGAACAAGCUUCACCAGAUUGCCCUGCCUGUAAGGAACUUGGUCCUAUGCCAUCAAAUGCACCAGAAGGAAAGCAGUGGAUAAGAUCCUGGAUUUUAGACAAUGUCGCUGUGGUUCUCGCUACAGACUCUUCACCCUCAACUUAAGCAAGUUUUGAAAAACUUAUUUUGCACAAGAUUAAGGACUCGUCAAAAAAGGAAACCAAUAAGCGAAGGAAGAUUGACCUGAAGACAAGAGUUGUGACGGAUGACUGAAGAGAAUGAACCAAAGAAAGGAGGUAUCAGAAAAAGUCGAAGACCAAGUAAGAACGCUGUUCCAAGGAGGCACAGAAUGCGACAUUUCAGCCUGGAAGAUGAAGCUAUCUCAGACGAUUCAACGGAUAGUAAUGAUUCCCAGAGUGACUCGAAAGAAACAAAUAAUGGAAAAGAAGUCAGAGAAAUACAAAAAGAGCAAAAAGGCCAGGAAUCUACAGCAAAAAACAGAGGGAACACUGAAGAAAGUCAGCCAUCGCAAAUCGUCAGUGGCAAAGGAUACAAAUUCGAAGAAAAUUCAGCUGCACACUCACGAUUCAGUACAAUAAGAAGACAUGACUUCUACGGAUGUUGAAACUAUUUUUAUUAGCUGUAUUUUUAGCUUAUUGACAUCUGUAUUUUUUGUAUUAAAUGGAAAUCUUGAUUUAAAAAAUUAUUUACAGCAAAUAUCAACAAAUUUAUUGAAUCAAAUUAACAUUUUUUUCUCCUUUUUGUGGUUAAAAAUUGCGCACCAGUUUUUCAUUCUUAAAAAAUAAUCUCUUAAAGAAUGGGUAGCAAAUAUGUGUGAACAAUCGGGAGGGAAACCACUACUGGUUAAACCACUAUGAAUCACUACUGGUUAAACCUCCAACAUAACAUAAAAAAUUGUUAGAAUUCAUAAUCCAACUUUUGAAACACCUUCUAUUUUAGUAUUUUUGCAGUAAGAUUUUGUGAAUUGCUACUGAUUAAACUUCCAACAUAGCAUAACUAAGUUUUGAAACUCAUAACUCAAUUUUUGAAAUAAUAAUAAUGUUAGCAUAAAGCAGAUCAUGGCAAAAAUGAGAAAGAUCCUAAGUUGGUAGAAGUUGCUACUGAGAAAGCUCCUUGAUUUAUCUUGUAGAAUAAUUUCACAGUAAAUAUUUUGUUCUUUAUUGAAUAAUCAAUUCUCCAUUAUUUUCAGUGAUCUAGUGUCUCUUUUGUCAUUAAUUAAUGAAAAAUAAAGGGACUGUUGGUCAUACAAUUUGUUUAUCUUUAGCUGAUGUACAGAUGUACCUUUGUCUUUCUUGAAAGGGCCAGCAUUCAGAACAAAGCCAGUAUUGUACAUCAUCUGAUUGCUUCCAGUGCAUUGCUGAAUCUUCAUCACAGCUUGGAUGAUAAUUCUCACUGCAAAGAUGGCAACAAAGAUCUUCAAUAUUGCCAAAAUCAUCUGGCAUGCGACAUCUGCAGGAAAUAGGGAAUGAUUCCAGGCUUCCCAACACAUAUGACCUUUGUCUUUCCACAGGAAAUGGCUUCAUAUUCGACUUCUCGAGGCAUUCGAGAAGGUGCUGCCGCAUUAAACUUCUUGUGUAGAUUGCAAGUCGUUGGUUUGGUCAUACAGAGGGAUGUUGCAAAUGCAAGAGCAAAAAGGCCACAGCUUGUGAAAUCACCUUGGGGUUGCACAUCCUCGUGUCUAAGAAGAAUAUAGGGUUCUUGGACAUCAGGAGUUUUGCUAUAAUCUUCUUGAUAGAGCCUGGGACCAUGUAAUCAUUCAUAAAUCUUGACUGCCCCAGUAUCCAAUGUAGCAAUAUUUGAUAUUGUUAUCCAAUGAGAGUCCCCCUUUAAAAGAACCUGUACGAACUCUCUAUUGGAUAAUGCAACUAGUUUGUUUUCCAUUGCUAUGGUGUCCUGAAAUCCAGACAAAGCAGGGAACUGUUCCUUAAAGAGAUGCUGGGAUGCAUUUAUGAUAUUAUCUGUUAUCCAUCUGACUGAAGAUUUUAGGAUAUCCUUGUCAUUGUUGAGUAAUUCGACUCUGCAUUUGACUUAAAGACAAAAACAAGGAUUAUCACAUACAAUGGACCAUCAUCACUCAGCCAAACCAUACAACAACAUUACAAAAAGGUGUGACCUAUGCUUAACAGAAAAACUAUACAUCAUCAAAGCAAAUAACAACACCCUUCUAAACAAACAAUCCGAAUUAAUCUCCAAAUGCCGACACGAAAACAAGUUUUAUCUCAUAAACAAUAGAACUCCACCUAACUAAUUAACCUGUAUCUAAAAAAAUUUCUUUUGUCUAACUUUAUCACACCUUUUGUAUAUUGUACCUUUUAUACCGCGGUAACAGGAAUAUUCUCCAGUAUAGUCUGUCUGAUGAGUGCGCAAGCACGAAACUCGGAGUAACAGAGAACAUGUCUCAUUUCUAGUCUAUAUUCUAUUUUAUUAUAUCUAUUGCUCUGUGCUUUUGCACAUCGAGCACUGUCAUGUCAGAAUAGACAACGCAAUCUGGAAUAUAUUUAUAUAUAAUAUAUAUAUAUAUAUAUAUCUGGAAUCUGGAAUAUAUCUGGAAUCUGGAAUAUAUAUGUAUAUAUAUAUAUGUAUUCAAAAGCUCUAGACUGUAAUGUUUUUUAAAAAAUUUAAAUAGAUGAUCAGUAAAAAAAACAACUUGAUUACAACUUGUUGCUUGACAUGUUCCAUCUCCUCUCUGGUCAAGUGCUCACGAAGACCCACGCCAUUUGAUCAUAAGCAAUCUUUUCCGCAAUAACUAUGUCGUCUCUAUACUUGAGCAGCAUCAAAGAAAGAAGUUGUCUCUCUGCUACUCUUAAAAUGCCCUUCCAAGAAUCCUCAAAUUCGUCUUUCUUCUUAAUGAGUUAAGGGUGGAGGAUCCCGGGUGAAAGGAAGUGACUCAUUUUCUUAAAGUUAAUGAGGGGAAACUAGGUAGGUUCUAUUCGUUACCUAAGAUUCAUAAGGGAUUAAGUGGGGUUAAGGGUCGACCAGUCAUUUCCAAUUGUGGCACCGUUACAGAAAAUAUAUCGGAAUAUCUAGAUCACCACCUCAAUCCACUGGUUAGCCUCAGUAGGUCUUAUAUUAAGGAUACUAAUCAUUUCUUGUCUAAGUUAGGUGAAAUAGGUAGGAUACCAGAGGGGGCUAUACUGUGCACAGUUGAUGUUGUGGGACUCUAUCCUAGCGUUCCACAUGGGGAGGGUCUGGAAGCCAUCAGGGAAGCGCUGGAUAGAAGGGAAAACCCAAACGUGGCUACUGAUACCCUAGUGGGAUUGGCAUCUCUGGUUCUCGAAAGCAACUACUUUCAAUUUAAUGAUAGGUUUUAUAGACAGAAGUUAGGCACCGCUAUAGGAACUAAGUUUGCUCCAGCUUAUGCAAACCUCUUUAUGACUGGGUUGGAAGAAAGAUUGUUGAAGGAAUCAGUGGACACACCCAUUGUCUGGAUGAGAUUCAUCGAUGAUGUUUUCUUUAUCUGGACACAUGACGAGGAGAAGCUCGAGACCUUCAUCAACUUUCUUAACAGUAGCCAUGAUACCAUUAAGGGCUGAUUUAUACGUCGCGCUUAUCUCGCACCAAAUCUAAUAUAAUUAGA